rnacentral:tRNA from 1 species
GGAAGGGUCGCCGUUGGUAAGGCAAGCGGUUUGCUAAACCGCCGCGGGUCCCCCCGCCGCGGGUUCGACUCCCGUCCCUUCCUCCA